rnacentral:tRNA from 1 species
GGGGCUAUAGUUUAAUUGGUAGAAUUUUUACAUGGCAUGUAAAGGAUUGCGGUUCGAUUCCGCAUAGCUCCA